rnacentral:rRNA from 1 species
GCGGUAAUUCCAGCUCCAAUAGCGUACGUUAAAGUUGCUGCAGUUAAAAAGCUCGUAGUUGAACGUUCGGGUUCCGCGGGACGGGGCCGCCCCGCGAGGGACGGCGCCGCCCCGGGGCUCGUGAUAUCUCAUCUCGCCGCCCGUCGCGAGGCGGACGGAGGGAUGGAUGAGGUUACCUGGAAAAAAUCGGGGCGAUCUAGGCGGGCGAACCUCGCCAACGAACGAUCGGACAUGGGAUAACGGAAGAGGGCGUCGGCUCGACUUCGUCGGUUCCUCGGGCCGAGGCACGUACGGUGAAUAGGGACGGUCGGGGCCGCCCGUACCGGGUCGUGAGAGGUGAAAUUCUAGGAUCGACCCGAGACGAACCGCCGCGAAAGCAUUCGGCAAGGACGCUUUCAUUAAUCAAGAACGAAAGUCGGGGGAUCGAAGACGAUCAGAUACCGUCGUAGUCCCGACCGUAAACG